AGGAAAAGUCAGGGGAGGUAAUGCACGGGCUAGAGCUAUCCAGCCGGUGGCUGCACCAGCUUCCCAACCAGAGUUCAAACCGGACACCUUGUUGGUAGUGCAAAGCUGCAACCCUGUCACGGAAAACAGGCAGUGCGUUGGUUAGUUUUUGGUCAACGUUACACAAGCUAGAGUCACCUGGAAAGAGGAAACCCCACGAGAGGAGCUGCCUCCAGCAGACAAGGCUGUGGUGCGCACGUCCUCUGUAGGAGCCAAGUGGUGCAUUUCCUGUUGCACACUGACACAGUUCCUUGUGGAGCAAGUCUGUUGUGCAAGUUUCUGGAAACCACCUGGAUGUCACUCAACUGGGGAACAUUAUCGCUGUCACAAAGAACGAUGACAUCAGCUGUCUGGCAGCGGGGAAACAUCCAGGGCAAGUAAAGUGAAAAGGCAAAAACGUGGGAUACUGUCCACAGUCUGGUUCAUUUUAAAAAUGUGUCUGGACUCUUGGGAAGUGGAUCACACCGGAGAUUUCACACCUAAUUGUUUAGCCCAGCUACUUGGUUUCUUCUUAGAGAGUAGGGGUUAUUAUGAGUGAGACAGUCUUGUAUAACUCAUGACUAAAAUCAAAUGUAUUUCAAAAUUCCUAAAAUGUGCUCUACAAACACUACCCCUGGACACCAGCCUCCAUGAUGCUCGCGACUAGAAAGAGCCCCAAAGGUCUAAAUGCAAGUCCUCCCAGGUCCCUUAAUAGCCUGAUCUGCACUAAUGGCCCCGCCCACCAGUCUCAGCAUCAGUGGCUUUAGCCUGCUGGCCUGGGCCAAUCACUGCCUGAUGGCUCAAGAAACACACCAAUCCCUUCUCCUAGGGCCUCAACAUUGGUUUAUCAGUCUGCCUAGGAUCCACUUGGCUGCUCACCUAAUCCCUGUCUUGGUUCCUACAGAUCGUCUUUUUGCUAUCCCAGAAAUCAAACCCAAGGCUUUACACUUUCUGGGCUGUGCUAUGGAGCCACCUUCUCUGACCAGCUCCAUUUGUUCCCUCCCUAAAUGCCUGAUCCUUUCCGUCACUUCCCCUGAACUUGUGUGUUUCCUUGGCAUUUAACUUUGUAAAUGACUA